rnacentral:rRNA from 1 species
UACAGAGGUCUCAAGCGUUGUUCGGAUUCAUUGGGCGUAAAGGGUGCGUAGGCGGUCUGUUGCGUCCGCUGUGAAAACUCGGGGCUUAACCCCGAGCCUGCAGUGGAUACGGGCAGACUAGAGGUAGGUAGGGGAGAAUGGAAUUCCCGGUGUAGCGGUGAAAUGCGCAGAUAUCGGGAGGAACACCUGUGGCGAAGGCGGCCCCCUGGUUGGAUACUGACGCUGAUACGCGAAAGCGUGGGGAGCAAACAGG